GUGAUGUGAUGAGUGGUAAAUACUCGCAAUUAACGGGGUGUCUGCCUAGCCUAUUACGACAAUGGGGCACUCCCUUCUUAACCAAUCUGAUCCC
rnacentral:snoRNA from 1 species